rnacentral:rRNA from 1 species
UGGGGAAUAUUGCACAAUGGGCGAAAGCCUGAUGCAGCAACGCCGCGUGAGGGACGACGGCCUUCGGGUUGUAAACCUCUUUUAGCAAGGAAGAAGCGAAAGUGACGGUACUUGCAGAAAAAGCGCCGGCUAACUACGUGCCAGCAGCCGCGGUAAUACGUAGGGCGCAAGCGUUAUCCGGAAUUAUUGGGCGUAAAGAGCUCGUAGGCGGUUUGUCGCGUCUGCUGUGAAAACCCGAGGCUCAACCUCGGGCCUGCAGUGGGUACGGGCAGACUAGAGUGCGGUAGGGGAGAUUGGAACUCCUGGUGUAGCGGUGGAAUGCGCAGAUAUCGGGAAGAACACCGAUGGCGAAGGCAGAUCUCUGGGCCGUAACUGACGCUGAGGAGCGAAAGGGUGGGGAGCAAACAGGCUUAGAUACCCUGGUAGUCCACCCCGUAAACGUUGGGAACUAGUUGUGGGGUCCAUUCCACGGAUUCCGUGACGCAGCUAACGCAUUAAGUUCCCCGCCUGGGGAGUACGGCCGCAAGGCUAAAACUUAAAUGAAUUGACGGGGUCAUAGCUGUUUCCU